rnacentral:rRNA from 1 species
GAUGAACGCUGGCGGCGUGCCUAAUACAUGCAAGUCGAGCGAACAGACGAGGAUCUUGCUCCUUUGACGUUAGCGGCGGACGGGUGAGUAACACGUAGGUAACCUACCUAUAAGACUGGGAUAACUUCGGGAAACCGGAGCUAAUACCGGAUAAUAUUUCGAACCGCAUGGUUCGAUAGUGAAAGAUGGCUUUUCUAUCACUUAUAGAUGGACCUGCUCCGUAUUAGCUAGUUGGUAAGGUAACGGCUUACCAAGGCAACGAUACGUAGCCGACCUGAGAGGGUGAUAGGCCAAACUGGAACUGAGACACGGUCCAGACUCCUACGGGAGGCAGCAGUAGGGAAUCGUCCGCAAAGGGCGAAAGCAUGACGGAGCAACGCCGCGUGAGUGAUGAAGGUCUUCGGAUCGUAAAACUCUGUUAUUAGGGAAGAACAAAAGUGUAAGUAACUGUGAACGUAAUGACGGUACCUAAUCAGAAAGCCACGGCUAACUACGUG